UCCAACAGAUGUCUCCCACAGAAAGAGGCAUGAGGGUACACAGCUUGGCUGGUCUGCCUUAUGUCCUGCUGCUGAGGAUGUCUAUUCUCAUUGCAGCUUCUGCUGACUCCAGAACCCAGGUUCUUCAGCCUUUGAUGGCGGACUGAUUGUGGAGAGGCCCAUGGCUCUCUCCAGGAUUCUCCACAUUUUUGGGGACAGAUCUGGACUGCUGGGGCAUCCAGCCUCACAGGCUGAGCAGAUGCUAUCGUCUCAGCUUCUCUUAGCAUAGAGACAGACUUCGAUGGUCUAUCUACUAGGACCCUAUUUUCCACACUGAUCUAUAGAUCCCCUUUAGUGAUGUCUAACCAUCAUGUUGAUACUGUUCCUCUUGAGAACCCUUCCUAAUAUAAACACUUCUUUAAUUUUUAAUGUGUAGAGAUCAUUACGCAUUCACCAGGGCAGCUGGAUCAUGUACAUUUUCUAUGUCCCAAUGUUGCAUUGAUACUAAAUUGAUUGCAUUUGACAUAAUGUUGGGCUUAGAUAGAAGAUAGAAAACACAUGUUGCAGUCUGUGGGGACGAAAUGCCAUGGCCUUUGUUCUUGUUUGCUUUCUCUUGCCAUGAUAAACACCAUGACUUGGGAGAGGAAAGGACUUUAGUCCAUCAUGGAGGUUAGCCACAACAGGAACCUGAGGCAGGAGCUUGAAGCAGAAACCACAAAGAAACACUGAUUAGUGGCUUGCUCCCAAGUUCAAGUUCAGCUAGCUUCCUUAUACAACCCUGGCACACAUUCCCAAGAAUGGUACUGUGGUCCUCUAUCCAUUAGCAAUCAAAACUAAUCCCUUGUGACAUGUUCGCAGGCCAGUCUGCUUCAGGAAAUCCCCCAACUUAGAUUCUCGGAUAACUCGGGGCUCUGUCAAGUUAACAGCUGAAGCCAACUGGGAGGGUAGUUGAACAUGUUUGUGUAUGGUGAAGCAAGAACCACAAGGGAUUAACACAGACAUCAGGGAAGGACAUAAGAUUCAUUGUACCAUUUUUGCAGUGAGGGAGCAAGUUAAAAUCCAAGAUAUAAAUUCAUAGAAAGAGUAAUGUGCAGUAAUUGUUGCCCUUGCGUGUGUAUAUUAAUAUGUGUGUGAAGAUGUGUUCGUGUAUAUGUUGAGGCUAGAAGUCAAUAUAUUCCUCAAUGACCCUCCACUGUAUUUUUUGAGACAAGGUCUUUUAAGGACCGUGGAGUUCACUGUCCAGCUAGACUGAGAGCGAGCCCCAGAGGUCUGCUUACCUCCACUUCUGUGGGUCUGGAAUACAGGUGUGUACCACCAUGUUCAACUUUCAUUUACGUCAGUCAUAACUAUCAUCUAGUGUUGAAAGUUAAACCAGGAACGUUUGAGGAAUUUAAGCAAUGAAGUUAAGAAAGAUGCCAUAAAAUGUGCUCCUUGCAGUUUAGAUGCUAUUGAUUGUUAUACUGCAAUCGCUACCGACUUGCUUGCCUCGGAGGGCAAUGCUUAGAAAACUUCAAGCCUUUACAGAAUGCUACAUCAGAGCAUGGCCAGAGGUGAACUUUCAGGACCCUGCCAUGCUCAUUUCCUCAUGCCCCGAGGAAGAAGAUUUAGAAUAUUGUCACCUUACUUAAUGUCUUUUAAAAUGAAAGUUUCUUGUUGUAAACUUACAUUUGUCAUGUGAUUUCAAA